AAAUUGAGGAAGAUGAGACUAACGAACUUGUCAAUGUAAAAUCGCAACAAUCAGCUGAGGAAAAAUGGAGUGCCAUAUUUAGACGAAAA